UCUUUAGAGUUGUUAAUAAGCCAAUAAAGCUACAAGGGUUCUUUGGCCGAGGAUCCAUCUCCUCAAGGUCGAAUUUGCUUUUAUUUUCCCUCCGGCACCGUUGCGAGAUAACUCUCUUUUUUGAAACACGUAUCGCUGUUUGAGCGCCUCAUUUGCUCCAGAGGACGUCCCACCGCUUGUCAUAACCAUUGUUGGACAUUUCCUUCGCGAGUUCCUGAUAAAUUAUGGCAUUUCUUAAAUUUUUGCUAUCUAAAAUAGAGCUGUAAUCGGGCAUGAAAUGACCGGAGCCCGACAGAAUGCAGCCCGAACCCGAAAGUACAUUUAGAUUGACAGCUUUUUAAAAGCCCGAACCUGUUUACAGCCAUACAUUAUUUAAAUUUGCGCACACAAACAGCUUUUAUCAAGAAUGAGUAAUUUACACAGGUUUUAACAUUAUUUAUUAAUGACUAACUGGGCUACACGUCACUUAAGUUGAAACAAAGAAAAAAAGUCAUCUGUAACAUCGUAACAUCUCGUUCUAAAUAGGCAUAUGCAACAUUAUAGGCCAACAUGCCAAUAAAAACAAUUAUUUCUUAACGGAUUAAAUUAAGAUAAUACAUUCUGAAUAAGAUGGUUGGGAAUAACGAAAUUAAGAUAAAGGUUCCGUGGUAUUUGCUUCGGCACUUUCUUCACAUUAAUGCCAACAUUAGUCUAUAUCCUCUGUCUAAAUUAUGUAUUUAAGACUAAGUAAUAUUUAGUUAUACAUUAAAAAACCUUUACUCACCAAGAUUAGGCUACAUUUUUGUUGAGGAAAUUAUUAAAUCCACUGUAAAUGGCUUCAGCGUGGUCCUGCGCUUAGGCAUUCAGCAGCAGCAUUGAACUUGACCGCUCUUUUAGCCUACCGUGCAAAGGCGGAGCACGAGCCCGUGUAAAAUGUUAGAAAUGAAGCCCGAAUCCGACCGAACCCGUCGGGUUCGGGCAAAGAUCUUCAGCUCUAAAAUAGCCGUUAUUUUCUCUGGUAAAUUAAAUUUAAAAUUAAUCUCGUCUCGUCGUUUGUCCACUAACAUCUGACUUUGUUGACACACGCCAUGUGUGCCACCAGAGCGGAAAUGACCUAAAACUUUUUCUUCUUUGCAACCAUAAAAGGACCUAAACCUUAAUCGCAAAUCAUUAUUUAUUCGGCAAAUAACGUUUCCAUCAGCGUUUAUCGGAUAAGCCAUAUAUCGAUCAAGAUAAAAUCCGAUGAGAUCGAACGUAUUUCUUUUGAGUCGAUAUUCAUGAAAUUCAAUCGAAUUUUACUGUUUCCAUAACGCAUUUUUCAUUCGAUAUCACUUAAUUCGGAUAAAAACAUGUGGAUGGAAACAUAGCUACUUUUACUCUUAUGAAUAUUGUACUUGUGAUUUCUAAAAGUUAUUUUUUUGUUUGUUUAUUUUGUGUUACAGGAAACUUCCACCUACAGUAAGCAGAUGCUGAGGCCCAGAUUUCCAUGCUAAGCACUCCAAGGCUCAUCAUGCUCGGAGAGUCCAAUCUGAGGGCAAAAAAUGGAUGCUUUCCAUCGAGUGCAGAGUUCUCCUCCAAUUGAGUGACCGUUGUGAUUUCGCUUCUGCUCUAGCCUUUUUGCGUCAUACUAUGUAUGAGGCAGCCACUACAUUGGGAUUUAUCCAGAGGGUAGAGUCCAGCCCAUGAAGUCAACUAGUUCAUGUCCAGAUUUAAAAGAAUAAUAUUUCUGAAAAAAAGGUCUUGGAGAAAAACAAUAUUCAGGUUUGAAAUCCUGCUGUAAAUGUAAAUCAUUUAACUUUUAUGCAUUUGUAAUUUACCAGAAACUUUUUAAUAAAUAUUGAUUGUUUUGUAUGU